AACCCUUUACACUGUGAAAAAAAAAAAUGUUGGAAGGGCAAAAUAUUUAAAGUCCGUGUAAAGUGAUAUUAAAAUAUGUGUUCUGAGUUUGUCACAAAACAGAAAAAUGUGUUAUUAACCACCCAGCCAAAUUUGAAUGAUAAAAAAAACAAAAAAAAAACAACAACCGCCAAGUAACUAAAAUAAGUUAUCAAAAUCUUUGAAAAAUAAGCAGGACUCUGCUCUCAAACGCUGGGGGCGUGUCUGCUGUCGGCGAGGAAACCACGCCCACCUCGCGAGAAAGUGGCCGUCUCUCUCAACUGUCGAAUACCUCUACAACCUGAAUGGAUACUACUGAUGCUACCUCUAGUAGCUUAAUUUGAUUUAUACAGCCAUACAUGUUUGAGCGUGCAAGUUUGUUAUUCAAUUUUAGACGCGCGUCAGCGCUGCAGUGAGUUGAAACCUUCUCGUCUUCAAGGCGUGCGCGGCUCAUGGUUGCUUAGCAGUGUUGGGCAAGCUACUUGAAAAAUGUAGUGAGCUAAGCUAACAGUUACUCUUCUUUAAAUGAAGCUUAACUACACUAAAGCUACAGCCCUGGGAAAUGUAGCAAGCUAAGCUACGGCAACAUGGCAAAAGUAGUUUACUACAUCCAAGCUAUUUAAAAAAAAAAUUUUUAAAUUCUAUUGAACCAACAUCAUACCCAGUCAAUGCUCUCUCAGUGAUCAAUAAAACUGUCAGUCAAGCAGAUAGACAGGCAUGUUCAGUUUAAUUGUUUAUUCAACAGCCAAUUUGGCAACAUAAUCAGUAUCAAAUACAGGGCCGGAUUGACCUCAAAUUGUGACAUAGGCAAAAUAAAUUUUUGCUGUCGGCCGGAAACCUCCUAUUGGUAGUUGAUAUUGUGGCUUUAUUGUGUACAGAUACAUUUAUAUAAAUGGUAACACUUCACAAUAAGGUUCAGUAGUUAACAUUAGUUAUCUGGUGUAACAUGAACUAAGAAUGAACAAUAUUUCUGCAGCAUUUAUCUUAAUGUUAAUUUCAACAUUUACUAAGGCAUUAUUAAAAUCAAAAGUUGUUUGUUAACAUUUGUUAAUGCACUGUGAACUAACAUGAACUACCAAUGAACGACUGUAUUUUCAUUAACUAACAUUAACAAAGAUUAAUAAAUACUGUAACAAAUGUAUUUUAAUGAAAUCGUAUUGUAUAGUGUUACCAGAUGUUUAGGCCUACAGAUAGGUUAUGUUUAUUUGCAUCGUUGCAUGUGUCAUUAGAUAUUAAUAUAAACAUUUCACCAAAAUCAAGUUCAAAUACGAAGCAUUGGACCAGCGAAGGUUUUUUUUUUUUUUUUUCUGACUCGUGUCCUGUUUUCCCCAGUUUUCUGUUAUUAUGUGGGCGUUCAGUUUUUUUCUGUUAUUUGGCCAAAGUAUCAUAUUAUGAAAGAUUAAGCGCUUCGCACGAGCUAUUUGGCUGUGACUUGACAACACAUGCUAGAGAAACUCUUCUCCGCUCCUCAAAAACAAAAAACAAACAAAAAAAGCAUUAGCCUUUGUUUUGAGAGUACAGAAACCGAUGUACUUAUUCAAUCAACAGUUCAUUAUUUACCUUCAGACUGCAAACAAGCUGAGAUGUGCGCUGCACUUCAUUGACGAAAGAGGCGGGAGGAAUAAUGAGGUUUGACUGACAGUUUGAGGAGCCAAUGGCGUUACGAGCUUUAGUGUCUGUGGCGUCACUUACUGAUCCAGGAUCAGUGAUCCGUAGCUGUUUUAUUUCUGAUUUGAGCUUGAGUUUCAGAAUGCUUUCUUUGGAAAAUGUAACGUUAGCUUUUGUUGACGCUACUGCGCUACUUGAUCAAAAAAAGAGCUUAACUACAGAAACGCUAUUUGAUUCAGAAAGCAGUGACGCUACUGAGAAAUGUAGUUAAACUAGUAGCGUCACUACUUGUAGCGACGCUACUGCCCAUCACUGUUGCUUAGCAACGGCAAAUACCAGGAGAGCACAAGCUGCGGUGCGCUUUGAAAGAAGAGAAAGCGGUACUGCUCGCGUUUCCAUGCGUUUUUAGAUGCGAAAGAGGAGCGCCAUCUUGUCAAGUUCACGCGUCAAGUAAGGCUAGCCGCACACUAGACAAUUUUCAAAUCUUAACCGAUUUUAAAACCAUGGGAGACCACAGACAUGAAGACAGUUCAACCGAUUUUUAGCCUUAUAAUCCUCUGAAUGCGCACACUAAAUGAUUCGAGCAGACCGCGAGACCGCACAAUUGAUGAUUGUAGGAAUGAUUUCACAGUGACACGAGAUCUCACGAACACUCGCGAGAUCAAACGUGACUUGAGAAGAAAAACAAAUACAGGAAAAUCAACAUUGUCAGCUGGCUCUCCUGGCGCGUAAAUCAUGCAACAUGUUCGAUUUUUUUGAGUGAACAUUUAGAAAGUGUUUUAUGAGUUGUAUAUCCGAAGAAAAGUGGAUAUAAGACAGUGUAUGGCAAGUUCAGGCGUCAGGGUGUGGCCAAAUGUUUCAUUGGUGCUUUGUCAUCAUUGCAAGAUGCAACCCAGUCAGUUCUUCCAAGGCAACAAACACUGUCUUGUGACCAGACCGCUCCACUGCAACUACAUACUGUGUGUAUUUUCAAGACUAGGAGUUUGUUGUUUUCAUUCCAGGUAAUGUGUGUAGAUGUUUGGAGUUUUUACUACAAUUAUAAUGUGCUAUAUUGUUAUCAAUGGUAUCUAUAGUAAUAUUAGUCCGUUUCAUUCUUAUUCCGAGGACACCGUAGAUCCAGACCAGAUGGUGGAUCAACAUCUAGAGAUUACCUCUACAGCCCUGAAUGUCAGUGGAGACCAUGUCAGCUAGAUGAGCCCCAGAGACAGAUCCCCUCAAAAGACCUCGCUGGCCAUCGGGACAAGACCAUGGGAACCAGACGAGUCCUCUGCUCAAUCGGACCCGAGUUGCAGCCUAGAAUUAAACCACGCCAUGCUGGUUUCGUCUGGCCAGAGGAGAACUGCCCCCCAACUGUGCCUGGUUUCUCCCAAGGUUUUCUACUCAAUCUCUAUCACCGAUGGAGUUUUGGGUCCUUGUGGCUGUCGCCUUUGGCUUGCUUUUUGGGGACA